UGGAAACAAGGAUGACCUUCAUGAUGAGCACUACCAAGCGUCCGAGCGCUCCUGUCAACAAUCAAAUCCCCGCACGCUCCGUCGGGUGACGGGUGCCCAGCUGGAAGGGGGGCGUGUCCUCCUGAUCCUGAGCAUCGGGGGCCUCCCGGGCCGCAAGGGGCCCAGGCAACUGAAUCAACAGCGCCCGCCAGGGGCCCCUCGCGUGGAAAACAGCAAAAGAACCCGCGGGAGACGGAAUGUGUCCAUUACCCGCUUGCUGGCGUCAUGGCCGCUGGGCCCGAGCUGCGUCUGGAAGCUGGUGCUGCGAUCGUCGCGGGUGGGGUUGCUCACCACCCAGGGGGACCCCCAAAGUGGCGCCAGGUAGUUCCUGGGCACGAAGAGGCUGCAGUUGACGUCAAAGUAUUUGGCCAUGUGCACGGGGGAGGCGGCGUGGAACUGGUAGGACAUGUAGAGCAGAUCCCGGACCGACUCCCGGUAGCGGGCCAAGACCGCCGACUGGGUCUGGAGCCGGAAGAGCUCUCGGGGCGGCAUCAUGGCGUAGCGCACCGCCCUCAGCGCGUUCUCUGCCGUCAGACCGUCGGGACGGUUGUGCGAGAUCCACUCCUCCAAGCCGGCAAAGAGCUCCAUCUCACUGUGCAGAACCAAAUCGGAACGCCGCAGUAGCGUCAUGAGCAGCUGGGAGCUGAGACCGGUCCACUCGCCGCUCUGCAGGACCGAGGACAGGUUCCAGGCCAGGUACUGGAGGCAGCCGUCCCGCAGCGCCGCGUCGCCCGCCUCCACCGCGUACUCGUACCAGCCGGCCACGUGGCCCGAAGGCGAUUCCCGGGCCAGGUUGAGAGUCAUGUAGCGCGUGAGUCCCUGCCGCAGUGCCACCACCUGGUACUUAGUGGCCAGGCGAUGGAGCGGGGUGGCCUGGUCCAGUCGCAGCGAGAGGUCGCCGCAGUACAGGUGACCAUUCUGUUUGUGAGUGCGCGCAACAAGCCCGACCUGAUGAACUUUUCGAAGACAGAGGCGCAUUCCGGGCUCUCGCGCAACGUGAGCACGCUGCCGUUGCGUCCCCGCAGCAUGUCCUCCAAGACGGG